AGAUAAUUAGUAUAAAUAAAAUAUUUGAUUUCGGCUCAAAAGCUUGUGGUUAAACUCCACAAUUAUCCA
rnacentral:tRNA from 1 species